GAUGAACGCUGGCGGCGUGCCUAAUACAUGCAAGUCGAGCGAACAGACGAGGAGCUUGCUCCUCUGACGUUAGCGGCGGACGGGUGAGUAACACGUGGAUAACCUACCUAUAAGACUGGGAUAACUUCGGGAAACCGGAGCUAAUACCGGAUAAUAUAUUGAACCGCAUGGUUCAAUAGUGAAAGACGGUUUUGCUGUCACUUAUAGAUGGAUCCGAGCCGCAUUAGCUAGUUGGUAAGGUAACGGCUUACCAAGGCAACGAUGCGUAGCCGACCUGAGAGGGUGAUCGGCCACACUAGAGCGGAGACACGGUCCAGACUCCUACGGGAGGCAGCAGUAGGGAAUCUGCCGCAAUGGGCGAAAGCCUUACGGAGCAACGCCGCGUGAGAGAUGAAGGUCUUCGGAUCGUAAAACUCUGUUAUUAGGUAAGAACAAAUGUGUAAGUAACUAUGCACGUCGUGACGGUACCUAAUCAGAAAGCCACGGCUAACUACGUG
rnacentral:rRNA from 1 species